rnacentral:rRNA from 1 species
AACAAACGCUGGCGGCGUGCCUAAUACAUGCAAGUCGAACGGGGUAGCAAUACCUAGUGGCGCACGGGUGAGUAACGCGUGGAUAAUCUGCCUUAGAGUGGGGGAUAACUAGUCGAAAGAUUAGCUAAUACCGCAUAAGACCACAAGAGCUGCGGCUCAAGGGGUCAAAGGUUUUUCGCUCUAAGAUGAGCCCGCGUAAGAUUAGCUAGUUGGUGAGGUAAUGGCUCACCAAGGCGACGAUCUUUAACUGGUCUGAGAGGAUGAUCAGUCACACUGGAACUGAGACACGGUCCAGACUCCUACGGGAGGCAGCAGAAGGGAAUAUUGCACAAUGGAGGAAACUCUGAUGCAGCGACGCCGCGUGAGUGAUGAAGGCCUUCGGGUCGUAAAGCUCUGUCGCAGGGGAAUAACACAAUGAAUGUACCCUGUAAGAAAGGAUCGGCUAACUUCGUGCCAGCCGCCGCUGUAAAAC